rnacentral:rRNA from 1 species
UACGAAGGGGGCUAGCGUUGCUCGGAAUGACUGGGCGUAAAGGGCGCGUAGGCGGUCUUGCAAGUCCUGUGUGAAAUCCCUCGGCUCAACUGAGGAACUGCACAGGAAACUGCUUGGCUUGAGUUCGGGAGAGGGAAGCGGAAUUCCGGGUGUAGCGGUGAAAUGCGUAGAUAUCCGGAGGAACACCGGUGGCGAAGGCGGCUUCCUGGACCGACACUGACGCUGAGGCGCGAAAGCUAGGGGAGCAAACGGG